rnacentral:lncRNA from 1 species
UUGAGCUAGUUUUUGACUAGAAAUCAAAUGCAGAAUCACUAGGUCUAAGGCAAUUUCUUGAUUGUGGUGAACAUGAAAUUUGAUGGAGAGCUUAUAUAUUUGACAACCCAUCGGCGUACUUGGGCUCAUGGAAUUUUUGGUUAUGUGAACAGAAUUAAAUUUCACCUCAUGGAGUGAAGUGUGGAGGGUGAUGAGGUGAAUAUAAUUGUCAAAGUCAAAGGCUAAACGGCUCCAUGGAAAGCUCUCAGAAGGGAAAUACAAUCACAAGGAUAUCAUCUUGUCCUUGAUUCGUCAUCACUCUAUUUAAACUUUUAAAGGAGUUAUAAUCUGAAACAAAAAGCUGCAAGAGCUUAUGCACGAGGAGACAAAAAAAUGUUGUUCACUCAAUAAGGAGAAAGCUAUGGACUAUGUAAACUGGACUUGCAGUUCAAUGACGGAAGGAGAGAGAUGAGAAGCAAUUUCUGGUUUCAUAUGAAAGAAGACAGUAGUCAACUUUGGAGUCUUCUAAUCUAGGAGGAUUUGUAUUUAUAUAAUAUUCAAAAUAAUUAAGUUUUCCAUGAUAAUUUUUUUUUUAAAAUGAAAUAUAUUGAGUCACCAAUAGAAUUGGUGUGGU